rnacentral:rRNA from 1 species
UACAGAGGGUGCAAGCGUUAAUCGGAAUUACUGGGCGUAAAGCGUGCGUAGACGGUUGCGUAAGUCAGAUGUGAAAGCCCCGGGCUCAACCUGGGAAUUGCAUUUGAGACUGCGUAGCUAGGGUGCGGAAGGGGCGAGUGGAAUUCCUGGUGUAGCGGUGAAAUGCGCAGAUGUCAGGAGGAACACCGGUGGCGAAGGCGGUUCUCUGGGCAUUACCUGACGCUGAGGAGCGAAAGUGUGGGGAGCGAACGGG